GAAUACGUAACGGCGGUACAUGUAUUCCGUUACUCCCCAACACUGCCUCUGUGACAUGUGCACAGGUAAAGUAUGAAGGGUCAGCGAGUCACUGAAGUGUUACAGAUGCGGUUUUCACCACAGACUGUAUGAAAGAUGAACGUAGGUCUGAGUGGCCACCAGGGGGCGGUAUCCAUGGUUACAACAUUUCUUCUGGUCCUGUAGAAGAAACCGGCCCUCGGUGACAUCACCGCCGAGUUUAUUCAUACUGAAUAAAACUUGAAGUCAGUUUUGAAAGCUUUGGUCAGAAGGACUUUCCUGCACAUGCUCACUGGCUGCUGGGCUGUGAUUGGUGAGUCGUUAGCGUACAGCUUCACGGUCAGAUCCACGCCUCGCUCGGUGUCACCCAGGUGACUUCCCCCCAGCCUGCUCAUGCUAACUUCACAGGCGUGGAUAGCGGGACCGUUAUCCUGCAGUGACAGCAAGCAACAGGCCGUGCACGGCAUGGAGAAUGUAUACAUGCGUCACGCCGUGAGAUGAGUGCGGUAUCUGUUACCAAAUCACCAGAUCACACUGUGGACGGUGGCGAGACUUCUUCUGCCGCCACAUUUUUAGACUUGACAGGCAGAGAGAAAGAUCCCAGCAUGAAAGUCCACCGCCAGCUAGAGUACUGCAGGCGCACCGUGCAUGCUGGGAUCCGCAUCGCUCAAACGCAGAUGCAUAAAUCACACCUGCGAUGACUCGAGAAGCUCUCUGCUGCUGACGGAUGCUGCAGGGUCACAUCUGUGACCUUUGACUUGUCAUAUGAUCAGCUCCUCACGCAUUUCACUGACAAUCCCUCAGACAGCGGUUGGCUUCCACCGCCUGCCUUGGCCUCCCGGACAGGAGGAGGAGAAACUGGCGUGUUUUGAAACACACUUUCACUUCCCGUGGUGGAAGGCUAUUUUCAUCCUCCGCUCGAGUUCCUCCUUUUCUCUCUGAUUCCUACGGGGAAACUCGGGGGCCUCCGCAAAACACAGAGACGCAAAGAUAACGGCCGAGUUUGGACUGAACGCCAGCUGUUUGUACAAAAACAGGCUUUUAUACAGACACC
ensembl:lncRNA